UACGGAGGGUGCAAGCGUUGCUCGGAAUCACUGGGCGUAAAGAGCGUGUAGGCGGUUUCGUAUGUCUGACGUGAAAGCCCCGGGCUCACCCCGGGAAGUGCGUUGGAAACUGCGAAACUAGAGUCCCGGAGAGGAAGGUGGAAUUCCAGGUGUAGCGGUGAAAUGCGUAGAUAUCUGGAAGAACACCGGUGGCGAAGGCGGCCUUCUGGACGGUGACUGACGCUGAGACGCGAAAGCGUGGGGAGCAAAC
rnacentral:rRNA from 1 species